rnacentral:lncRNA from 1 species
AAUCACACAAGUCCUUAAAAGCUGAGAACUUCCUCCUGCUGGGGACAGGACAGAUGAGGCAGAAGGGGAGGUUAGGGAGGUUUGAAGAGUGAGAAGAACUUCUGCAGUGGCUGACUUGGAAGAUGAAGGAGGUUAUGAACCAGGGAAUGGGGGCAGCCUCUAGAGGCUGAGAACCUGCUGACACCUACCCACAACCACUAAGGAAAUGAAGACUUUAAUUCCACAACUGCAUGCAACUAAACUCAGCCAACAACCUGAAUAAGUCUGAAAAAGGCUUCUCCAGAGCCUCCAGAUAAGAGGCCAGGCUGGCGACACACCUUGAUUUUGACCUUGUGAGACCUAGAGCAGAGAAACUAGCCAAGAUCACUCAGACUUCUGAUCUACAGAACUGUGAGACCGUAAAUUUAUGUUGUAUUAAGCCACUAAUUGUGUGGGAAUUUGUUACAGGAGCAAUAGAAAAUGAAUACACCGUCUGAUGUAGUUUAAUCAGUUGACAUUAGACUCCUCCCUUUUGUAAUAUGGAGAUUUAUUUACAAUGGCGAGAGCUGCUAUGGGGCUAUCCAUAAUAACACAGAAGUCUUGGCCGACAAACACCAGAAGGAGCUGUCUGGAAGGUUUGAAUAAAUAAACCUGGGUGGGAAGUAUACAGUUAUUGUGCAUCACCAAUGAAUGAAUCAGGUUGAGUUCCAUCCUCCUCACCUAAAACUUCCUUAAGUGAGUGACAAGCAUAGUAUAAAUCAGAAAACCGAGCCAUCAAGAAGCUUGCCUUGACCAACGACUCAAAUCACAUCAAGCAGAACCAGAAGAGAACUUUACACCUGUAUCUUCAGCCCCACAGUAAAACCCAAUGACACGAUGAAUGCCAUUUAAUCUGUGUGAUUUCACUAUGAAAUCUAAACCAUCAUUUGAAAGGCUGCUGAAGGUAGUACCAGUGACACACUUUGUGCCUAACUCUCUUAACUUUUUGCUCAUUUGAUUGCCAUACAACUAUAGAAAUCUGAUUUUAAAACAAUUACCUUGGGUUCCAGGGAAUAAUUACUUUAAUGAUCUUUUAAAUAUUUUCCCCCUAAGAGUUGACCUUGCUGUAAAUUCUUUAUUGCCUAUUUAUAUGGUGAUAGGGGAUUAGGCAGGCACUGUUCUUGAGUCUUUACUGAGCUAAAGGAAAGUGGCCAAUAGAUGGCCUAAAAGAAUCAUGGGGAAAUGUUUAAGGGGGAAUUGAAAAUUCGGUAUUUUCACAAGCUACAAAAACAUCCAAAGUCAAUGAUAAAAACAGAUGUAUUAUGGCAAAUUAGCAGUAGAGGGAAACAGAAAAUGUCGUUUUCUGAAUGAGGACUUAGAGUGGGAAGCUGUCCUUUAACUAUUAUAUAUAUUUUAAAAUAAUUUUAUUGAUAUACAAAAACUAAUUUAGAAACCACAUUAAUAAAUUAAUAAAAUUAUUAAAAUGAUGGUACUCCAUGAAUUUUUAACAAGCAUAUUUCCUAUGUUACACUUACAAGAAAUCUUUUUUGAUAAUGCAAAGUCAUAAUUUGCAAAAUAUUUGGCACUGUUGUUUGCUUUCUGCUUCACUAUCUUUGAGUCUGUGACAGGUAGCUGAUGGUAAACCUCAUAAGAUUUGGAGUUAUAUUUGAAGACACUAUCCAAGAUAUUUAUUUGAACUUACAUAAAAAGGCUAUUUUCACCCUUAAUAUUAAAAAGCUGAGAUGCAUCCCAGGAGGCAAAUAUCAUUCAUGUACCUGGAAGCUCUUACUAAAUGGGUGACACCAAGAUGUGCUACACUGAACCCAACUUCUGCAUGUUUAAGACAAGAAUGUGCAUCUUUAUUUUUCCUGAAUAUUUCUAUUGUCUAAAUACCUUAACGCAAGGUCAAAAAUUUACAUCAGGUAUCUGAAUGUGUAGCAUAUACAACUGAGUGUUGAAAGAAGACAAAAUCGUUUUCAUCACGAAGAAUAUGUGCUCAGUAAGAAUCAGAAUGUUCAAUUGUGUGAAGGUGGGAGAUGGGAAGAUUGGUAUUAUGGCCUGGAUCCAGAAAUCAGUCUUCCACUAUGGGAAAUGGGAAUUUAAAGAUGAUCAGAAGACAGUUGGGAGCAGAGUGAGAAUAAGAACCCUCAACUGCUGUCUCACCUUUCAGAUCACGAAGAAGUUUUUUACAAUGAGCAGAACACUCAACCUGAAAGCAGAAUGGAUUGAGUCACUGCAGCGUGGCAGUGGAAUGGUGCUUGAUGUUGGCAAAGGAAACAUGUACUUCUAGACUGGACAGUUUUCCCUCAGUUUACAGUUUCCAAAUAGAGACAUCACUUUGAAAUAACAUGGAGAACAUACGUGGAUGUACUGAACGAAGAAUAAAGUCUGUGUUGCAGUCCUGUCUCCAUUGACUUUUACAAAUAUGGCUUUGGAUGAAUCACCUAACUUUUAUUUUUGAGAAUUUACACUUACCAUGUAUAAAAUGAUAGUGCUAAUAUGUUUGCUGCCUACCCCAUUGGGUUUUGUGAGGAAUAAAUGAUAAUGCUAAGAAAAAGG